rnacentral:rRNA from 1 species
GACGGAGGGUGCAAGCGUUGUUCGGAUUGACUGGGCGUAAAGGGCGUGUAGGCGGCCAACUAAGUCCGACGUGAAAUCCCAAGGCUUAACCUUGGAACUGCGUCGGAUACUGGAUGGCUUGAAUUCGGGAGAGGGAUGCAGAAUUCCAGGUGUAGCGGUGAAAUGCGUAGAUAUCUGGAGGAAUACCGGUGGCGAAGGCGGCAUCCUGGACCGACAUUGACGCUGAGGAGCGAAAGCUAGGGGAGCAAACGGG